rnacentral:rRNA from 1 species
AGUGAACGCUGGCGGUAGGCCUAACACAUGCAAGUCGAACGGCAGCACAGUAAGAGCUUGCUCUUACGGGUGGCGAGUGGCGGACGGGUGAGGAAUACAUCGGAAUCUACUUUUUCGUGGGGGAUAACGUAGGGAAACUUACGCUAAUACCGCAUACGACCUACGGGUGAAAGCAGGGGAUCUUCGGACCUUGCGCGAUUGAAUGAGCCGAUGUCGGAUUAGCUAGUUGGCGGGGUAAAGGCCCACCAAGGCGACGAUCCGUAGCUGGUCUGAGAGGAUGAUCAGCCACACUGGAACUGAGACACGGUCCAGACUCCUACGGGAGGCAGCAGUGGGGAAUAUUGGACAAUGGGCGCAAGCCUGAUCCAGCCAUACCGCGUGGGUGAGAAGGCCUUCGGGUUGUAAAGCCCUUUUGUUGGGAAAGAAAAGCAGCAGGUUAAUACCCCGCUGUUCUGACGGUACCCAAAGAAUAAGCACCGGCUAACUUCGUG